rnacentral:rRNA from 1 species
UACGGAGGAUGCAAGCGUUAUCCGGAUUUAUUGGGUUUAAAGGGUGCGUAGGCGGCUUAUUAAGUCAGGGGUGAAAGACGGUGGCUCAACCAUCGCAGUGCCCUUGAUACUGAUGAGCUUGAAUACACUUGAGGUAGGCGGAAUGUGACAAGUAGCGGUGAAAUGCAUAGAUAUGUCACAGAACACCAAUUGCGAAGGCAGCUUACUAAGGUGCAAUUGACGCUGAGGCACGAAAGCGUGGGGAUCAAACAGG